ACUUGGGUAGCUUAAAUUUAAAGCUUAAUAUUGAAGCUAUUAAGAUAAGAUUACUCUUCUCAGGUA
rnacentral:tRNA from 1 species